UACGGGGGGGGCAAGCGUUGUUCGGAAUUACUGGGCGUAAAGGGCUUGUAGGUGGCCAACUAAGUCAGACGUGAAAUCCCUCGGCUUAACCGGGGAACUGCGUCUGAUACUGGAUGGCUAGAGUUUGGGAGAGGGAUGCGGAAUUCCAGGUGUAGCGGUGAAAUGCGUAGAUAUCUGGAGGAACACCGGUGGCGAAGGCGGCAUCCUGGACCAACACUGACACUGAAAAGCGAAGCCAGGGGAGCAAACGGG
rnacentral:rRNA from 1 species